rnacentral:rRNA from 1 species
GAUGAACGCUGGCGGCGUGCCUAAUACAUGCAAGUCGAGCGAACAGACGAGGAGCUUGCUCCUCUGACGUUAGCGGCGGACGGGUGAGUAACACGUGGAUAACCUACCUAUAAGACUGGGAUAACUUCGGGAAACCGGAGCUAAUACCGGAUAAUAUAUUGAACCGCAUGGUUCAAUAGUGAAAGACGGUUUUGCUGUCACUUAUAGAUGGAUCCGCGCCGCAUUAGCUAGUUGGUAAGGUAACAGCUUACCAAGGCAACGAUGCGUAGCCGACCUGAGAGGGUGAUCGGCCACACUGGAACUGAGACACGGUCCAGACUCCUACGGGAGGCAGCAGUAGGGAAUCUUCCGCAAUGGGCGAAAGCUUGACGGAGCAACGCCGCGUGAGUGAUGAAGGUCUUCGGAUCGUAAAACUCUGUUAUUAGGGAAGAACAAAUGUGUAAGUAACUAUGCACGUCUUGACGGUACCUAAUCAGAAAGCCACGGCUAACUACGUG